rnacentral:rRNA from 1 species
UACGUAGGCAGCAAGCGUUGUUCGGAAUUAUUGGGCGUAAAGGGCGCGUAGGCGGUGCUAUAAGUCUGUGGUGAAAUCUCUGGGCUCAACUCAGAGUCUGCCAUAGAAACUGUAGUGCUAGAGUGUGGGAGAGGUGAGUGGAAUUCCCGGUGUAGCGGUGAAAUGCGUAGAUAUCGGGAGGAACGCCAAAGGUGAAAACAGGUUGCUGGGGUUGUGCCGACGCUGAGACACGAAAGCCAGGGGAGCAAACGGG